ACGAACGCUGGCGGCGUGCUUAACACAUGCAAGUCGAACGGAAAGGCCCCUUUGGGGGUACUCGAGUGGCGAACGGGUGAGUAACACGUGAGUAACCUGCCCUUGACUUCGGGAUAACUUCAGGAAACUGGGGCUAAUACCGGAUAGGAAUCCUUGCUGUAUGGUGGGGGUUGGAAAGCUUCGGCGGUUUUGGAUGGACUCGCGGCUUAUCAGCUUGUUGGUGGGGUAGUGGCUUACCAAGGCUUUGACGGGUAGCCGGCCUGAGAGGGCGACCGGCCACAUUGGGACUGAGAUACGGCCCAGACUCCUACGGGAGGCAGCAGUGGGGAAUAUUGCACAAUGGGCGGAAGCCUGAUGCAGCAACGCCGCGUGCGGGAUGACGGCCUUCGGGUUGUAAACCGCUUUCAGCAGGGGCGAAGCUUGUGGUGACGGUACCUGCAGAAGAAGCACCGGCUAACUACGUG
rnacentral:rRNA from 1 species